CGCUAACCUCGUUGCAGGAGACUCUGUAAUACGGGUGGUCCGAGCGUUGUCCGGAAUCAGUGUGUUUACAGGGUCCGUAUGCGGCCUUAUAAGUCAGCUGUGAAAGUUUUUGGCUUAACCAAAAAAUUUCCAUUGAUACUGUAGGGCUUGAAUAUUUGUGAAGUAACUAGAAUAUGUAGUGUAGCGGUGAAAUGCUUAGAUAUUACAUGGAAUACCAAUUGCGAAGGCAGGUUACUAACAAAUGAUUGACGCUGAUGGACGAAAGCGUGGGUAGCGAACAGGAUUAGAUACCCUAGUAGUC
rnacentral:rRNA from 1 species